rnacentral:rRNA from 1 species
UUCGGGAGCCUAUACAGGUUGUUGCAUGGCUGUCGUCAGCUCGUGUCGUGAGAUGUUCGGUUAAGUCCGCUAACGAGCGCAACCCUCGUCGUAUGUUAUAUGUGCAUACGAGACUGCCGGUAAAAGCCGGAGGAAGGUGAGGAUGAUGUCAAGUCAGCAUGACCUUUAUAUCCAGGGCUACACACACGCUACAAUGGUCUGUACAAUGGGUAGCCAAGCCGCGAGGCGGAGCCAAUCCUGAAAGCAGGCCUCAGUUCAGAUUGCAGUCUGCAACUCGACUGCAUGAAGCCGGAGUUGCUAGUAACCGCAGGUCAGCAAUACUGCGGUGAAUACGUUCCCGGGUCUU